UCUAACCAGGCCAGGCGUGAAAAAUGUGCAGAUGGCGUAUGCAGAAAUCUUAAGGAGUGUUACAGGGAGGAAAAGUUGUGGGGACCAUGUCCCCAGGAUCCGUCCCAGAUCUUCUGCUGCUUUUGGGUAGGCGUCGAUUAUCCACCCAGGAGAAGAUUCGGACGUUUCUGAAUCCUGAGGCAAUUUUCCUGUGACUCGGGUUCUUUCUUCAUCGCCACUCCCAGAGGCCUUGUGCAUUUGAGCUUGUCAGCUAGUCAACCUUCCCCAAGGGGAAAGAACACCUUCUCUAACAAAAAUCUUGCAUUUUCCUCUUCUAAUAAAAGCAAUGCAGUUGGGCAUAUGAA